rnacentral:rRNA from 1 species
GAUGAACGCUGGCGGCGUGCCUAAUACAUGCAAGUCGAGCGAACGGACGAGAAGCUUGCUUCUCUGAUGUUAGCGGCGGACGGGUGAGUAACACGUGGAUAACCUACCUAUAAGACUGGGAUAACUUCGGGAAACCGGAGCUAAUACCGGAUAAUAUUUUGAACCGCAUGGUUCAAAAGUGAAAGACGGUCUUGCUGUCACUUAUAGAUGGAUCCGCGCUGCAUUAGCUAGUUGGUAAGGUAACGGCUUACCAAGGCAACGAUGCAUAGCCGACCUGAGAGGGUGAUCAGCCACACUGGAACUGAGACACGGUCCAGACUCCUACGGGAGGCAGCAGUAGGGAAUCUUCCGCAAUGGGCGAAAGCCUGACGAAGCAACGCCGCGUGAGUGAUGAAGGUCUUCGGAUCGUAAAACUCUGUUAGUAGGGAAGAACAUAUGUGUAAGUAACUGUGCACAUCUUGACGGUACCUAAUCAGAAAGCCACGGCUAACUACGUG